CGCACAUUGCGCCCAUUAGUAUUCUAGUGGGCAUGCCUGUUCGAGCGUCAUUAAGUCCAUUAAGCCCUGUUGCUUAUCGUUGGGAGCCCGCUGGCGCAAGCCUGCAGCUCCUCAAAAUUAGUGGCGGAGUUAGCGUAUACUCUAGGCGUAGUAAUUUCAACUCGCUUCUGUAGUUGCGCUGGCGCCUGCCGUAAAACCCACCAAAUUUUAAAUGGUUGACCUCGGAUCAGGUAGGAAUACCCGCUGAACUUAA
rnacentral:misc_RNA from 1 species